UACGUAGGGGGCUAGCGUUGUCCGGAAUCAUUGGGCGUAAAGAGCGUGUAGGCGGUCCGGUAAGUCCGCUGUGAAAGUCGGGGGCUCAACCUCGAAUGCCGGUGGAUACUGUCGGGCUAGAGUGCGGAAGAGGCGAGUGGAAUUCCUGGUGUAGCGGUGAAAUGCGCAGAUAUCAGGAGGAACACCUAUUGCGAAGGCAGCUCGCUGGGACGUAACUGACGCUGAGACGCGAAAGCGUGGGGAGCAAACGGG
rnacentral:rRNA from 1 species